UGUUGUGUGUCGUCCGCGCUGCGUUACACGUGCGUAAGAGCAAGCUCGUCUACGCACCAUCUCGUGGUCUCCUCGUCGUCAUAUACACGCGAAUGCGCCGACCCAAACGAACUCGUUCGUUCUCACUGGAAAGAAGCAACACGUCCUCUGCGAUGCAGGAAGAAUAAUAACGGACACACUACUGGCAAUCAUCAAUGACAAUGCACUUAAAGUUUGAAAAAGGAUCAUGGAAACAUCGAGGGUGCUAUACCCUGGAUUACCCUUCAUCACUGACAAGGGUUGAUUCAAGCAGGAUAUGGAACACGAGAACACUUGUCAUCUCUCAUGCACGUGGCAAAUACAGCUCUUUUUCACAUCCCGUCUAUCGAUGAUGAAAAUCUUAAAAUACUUUGUGUUUAUUAUACUGUGAUCUAAAAAAACUUGUGUGUAUUAGACAUUUUCAAAAAGAUUUGUAAAAAUGUAAUUAUAAAGCAU
rnacentral:misc_RNA from 1 species